UACAGAGGUCCCAAGCGUUGUUCGGAUUCACUGGGCGUAAAGGGUGCGUAGGCGGUCGGGUAAGUCUGAUGUGAAAUCUCACAGCUUAACUGUGAAACUGCAUUGGAUACUAUCCGGCUCGAGGAAUGGAGGGGAGACUGGAAUACUUGGUGUAGCAGUGAAAUGCGUAGAUAUCAAGUGGAACACCAGUGGCGAAGGCGGCACUCUGGGACGGUACUGACGCUGAGACGCGAAAGCGUGGGGAGCAAACAGG
rnacentral:rRNA from 1 species